GAUGAAGAACGUAGCGAAAUGCGAUACUUGGUGUGAAUUGCAGAAUCCCGUGAACCAUCGAGUCUUUGAACGCAAGUUGCGCCCGAAGCCAUCAGGUUGAGGGCACGUCUGCCUGGGCGUCACAUAUCGUUGCCCAAUGCCUAUUGCAGUGCAAUAGGAAUUUCUAGGGCGAAUGAUGGCUUCCCGUGAGCGUUGUUGCCUCGCGGUUGGUUGAAAAUCGAGUCCUUGGUAGGGUGUGCCAUGGUAGAUGGUGGUCGAGUUAGAACGAUACCGAUCAUGUGCAUGCUCCCCAAAAUAUGGACUCUAUGACCCACACGCGUCUUUUGACGCUCAUGACGAGACCUCAGGUCAGGCGGGGCUACCCGCUGAAUUUAAACAUAUCAAUAAGCGGAGGA
rnacentral:misc_RNA from 1 species